GCACAUGGGCUUCACCUACUUUAGUGGAAAGUGAUCUGCUAACCUGUGCAAGAUGGGGGUAUGGAGAUUUAAUUCUUAUUGGUUAGGAGGGAGGCGGUGAUUUUCAUACAUGCGAUGAGAUUUCUCACUUAGUUUGAUUAUUUGUGGAACAAGAUGAUAAGGACUUGGUAUGGGACUUGAAGUCAGGGGUUCGAGAUCCGUAAUGAUCAUGGUUGCUCUUUCAUUUGGAGAAAUAUUUAUAGCCGCUCCCUAUAGUGGUGGCC
rnacentral:lncRNA from 1 species